rnacentral:rRNA from 1 species
GAUGAACGCUAGCUAUAGGCUUAACACAUGCAAGUCGAGGGGAAACGGCAUUAUGUGCUUGCACAUUCUGGACGUCGACCGGCGCACGGGUGAGUAUCGCGUAUCCAACCUUCCCUCCACUCGGGGAUACCCCGUUGAAAGACGGCCUAAUACCCGAUGUUGUCCACAGAUGGCAUCUGACGUGGACCAAAGAUUCAUCGGUGGAGGAUGGGGAUGCGUCUGAUUAGCUUGUUGGUGCGGGUAACGGCCCACCAAGGCGACGAUCAGUAGGGGUUCUGAGAGGAAGGUCCCCCACAUUGGAACUGAGACACGGUCCAAACUCCUACGGGAGGCAGCAGUGAGGAAUAUUGGUCAAUGGACGUAAGUCUGAACCAGCCAAGUAGCGUGCAGGAUUGACGGCCCUAUGGGUUGUAAACUGCUUUUGUUGGGGAGUAAAGUGGGGCACGUGUGCCUUUUGCAUUACCUCGAUAGC